UUAAUUUCCUGAACUGCAAGAGUAUCUGUGUUAACAGGGGAAUUGGAGGAAUUACUGCUCUGACCAUGAGUAAAAAAUUCAGUAUCAAGCUGCUGGUAAGGCAGAUUGUGAGAGUGUUUCCUGACUUCAGUUCUCACCAACAGCUGAGACAAUAUGUGAGAAAUGGGAAAUGGGAGUGACAGGAGAGCCUGAGACACACAGAGACCAAAAGAAAUGUGCCAGAGAGUUGGCCAGCAUGGGAGAACAACCAGUACUUCCUCCCAGUUGCAUUAAAAUAAAGUGAGAUAAGAUCAGUAAACAGUGCUCCUGCUGUAUAAUAAUCUGCAUAUAGAAUACUCUGUGAUGGGAGAACACUGGCUCUUUCAAAGAUUUAGGACUCUCCUA
rnacentral:lncRNA from 1 species